UGAUGAGUAUAGGCCUCCAAUCAAGAAGGUGUAUGAGAGAAAGAACAAGGGGAAAGCCACAGCUUAAUGUGUUUGUUAUAGUUAGUUAGUAUCCAGCUGGCAAGUUAGUUGUUUCUGUUAGUGGCCAGUUGGCAAUUUCUGUUAGAGAUGCAUUCUGUUAGCAUCUGGGAGAUAGUAUAAAUAAAGGGAAGGGGGUAGUUAACGAGUAGUUAUUCAGUUAGUAGGUAAUUGUGGAGAGACUGGUCUCUCGAACAACCAGAGGAAGAACUAGGGUUCAUUCCACCAUUUCUGUACCUUGAGCUCUGGUUCUCAUUGAGCAUCUGAGUCUCUAUUUUCAUUCAAAUUCAAUCUAGUUUCAGAUCAGAGUUCUACAGUGUUCAUCAAUUGGUAUCAGAGCUCCAUCCAGGAGCUGUGGUAUCGAUCUAUGGUAGCUAGCAGAAUGGAAUCUCGAGUUGAUGCGAUCGAGAGGUUUAUCGAGGCUAUGAAUCGCGACAGGGAAGAAGAGCGCAGGAACCGCGACGAAGAACGACGAAAUCGAGAGGAAGAUCGCAGAGAGCGUGCGGCGGAGAGAGAGCGUGUAGAGGAGCGACUUCGCACCUUGGAAGCGAUUGUAGAAUCGCUGUCCAGGAAGUUCGACGGCGAACGCGAUGACGGAGGCAGCGGCGGGCGAGAUCGCCGGCAAACAGGGGAAGAGCGAACGGUGAAUGGUGGCAGCGUGGGAGGCCAGAGAGUAGAACACGAAGAGGAGAGAACACCGCGCACCGAGAAUCCGCAAGCGGAGCGGUGGCGGAAGCUUGAUAUUCCGGUGUUCCAAGGAGAAGAAGAUGCGUACAGUUGGAUUCAGAAGUUGGAGAGAUACUUCCGAUUGAAGGGAGCGAAAGAGGAAGAGAAGACGCAAGCUAUCAUGGUGGCUCUUGAUGGAAGGGCGUUGAGUUGGUACCAAUGGUGGGAGACUUGUAAUCAGGUAACUACGUGGGACAAGUUCAAGGAAGCGUUGCUGGAACGUUUCCAACUCUCAUCUGCUUCAAGUCCUUUUGCUGCGUUGCUAGCUCUUAAGCAAGAAGGAAGUGUAGAGGAAUUUGUGGCUCAAUUUGAGAGAUUUGCAGGCAUGUUGCGAGGGGUUGAAGAAGAACACUACAUGGACAUUUUUGUCAAUGGACUCAAGGAAGAGAUUGCAGCAGAAAUCAAGCUCUAUGAGCCUAGAACUCUAGCAAUCAUGGUCAAGAAAGCAUUGAUGGUGGAACAGAAGAACCUGGCUGUGAGUAAAGCAGGGGUUGGCAGCAUUAGCAGGUACAAUUCUUCUUACAAACCACCUUUUAAAGCUUCAACUUAUCAGAAAACUGUGACAAUUGAUAGUGGACAGAAGAGUGGAGUAGGUAGUGUUGUUCAAAACACAGUACAAUCCUCUAGUGGAAGUGUUAGUGAUAGAGUAGGGAGCAAGCCAGCAAGGGGAGGGGUUUUCAAAAGGCUUACUGGGGAAGAAAUGAAGGAGAAACUAAGGAAAGGGGAAUGUUUUAGGUGUGAUGAGAAAUUUGGCCCAAACCAUGUGUGUAAGAAUAAGCAACUCAGAGUCAUGUUGCUGGAGGAGGAAGGUGAGGAAGAAGAAGAGGAGACUAUAGAGGCUCAGCCAGAAGAUUCAGGAGAAAUUAUGGAGUAUAAGCAACUAUCACUCAAUAGCAUACAAGGACUCUCUACCAGGAAAUCACUUAAGGUGUGGGGAAAAUUGCAGGAAACUACUAUUGUUGUGCUCAUAGAUUGUGGAGCAACACACAACUUUAUUUCAGCUACUUUGGCAAGAGCUUUGGAACUAAAGAUUACUGAAACUUCCUCUUAUACAGUGGAAGUUGGAGAUGGACAUAAGGUGCAAGGUAGAGGGGUUUGCAAGAAUGUUAGUGUGCAGAUCCAAGGGUUCAUGGUAACACAAGACUUCUACUUGUUUGGGUUGAGAGGUGUAGAUGUUGUGCUGGGUUUGGAAUGGCUUGCAAGCCUAGGGGAUAUAAAGGCCAAUUUUGAAGAGCUCACCUUGAAGUUCAAGCUGGGGAACAGCAAAGUGGUACUCAAGGGUGAACCUGAGCUGUUGAGGAAAGGUGCCUCACUGAAUGCAAUGGUCAAAGCCAUUCAGCAACAGGGUGAGGGGUAUGUUCUGCAAUGCCAGAUGUUAGAAAAGGAAGUGGCCCAACCAGAAGACACUCCAGAGUUAUUAAAAGCAGUCUUGGCAGAUUUUCCAGCAUUAUUUGCUUCACCAACUGAACUGCCACCUCAAAGAAGACAUGACCAUGCAAUACAUUUGAAGGAAGGGGCAUCUAUACCUAACAUUAGACCCUACAGGUAUCCCCAUUUUCAGAAAAAUGAGAUAGAAAAAUUAGUUGCUGAAAUGCUUAAUGCAGGCAUCAUUAGACCAAGUAUUAGCCCUUAUUCAAGUCCAGUCAUAUUGGUGAGGAAAAAGGAUGGUAGCUGGAGGUUUUGUGUAGACUAUAGGGCCUUGAACAAGGUCACGAUCCCCAAUAAAUUUCCUAUCCCAGUUAUUGAUGAACUAUUAGAUGAGAUUGGUCCAGCAAAGGUGUUCUCCAAGAUAGAUCUUAAAUCAGGUUAUCAUCAAAUUUUGAUGAAGGCUGAAGAUGUAGAAAAGACAGCAUUUAGGACACACGAGGGGCACUAUGAGUUUUUGGUGAUGCCAUUUGGCCUCACCAAUGCUCCCUCCACAUUUCAGUCCUUAAUGAAUGAGGUGUUGAGGCCAGUUUUGAGGAAGCAUGCACUAGUCUUUUUUGAUGAUAUUUUGAUCUUUAGCUUGACCAUGGAAGACCAUGUAGUACACUUGACACAAGUACUGCAGCUAAUGGAACAACAUGACUUAAAAAUCAAUGGCAAGAAGAGUGUGUUUGGAAGAGGGCAAAUAGAGUAUUUAGGCCAUGUUUUGACUGCUGGAGCAGUGGCGGCAGAUCCAAAGAAGCUGGAAGCUAUGUGGAUGUGGCCAAUUCCAAAGGAUUUGAAAAGCUUGAGAGGGUUCCUUGGGCUGACUGGAUACUAUAGAAGGUUUGUUAGAGACUAUGGAAAAAUAGCUAGGCCAUUAACACAGCUCUUGAAGAAAGAUAGUUUUCAGUGGGGACCAGGCCCUCAGCAAGCUUUUGAAGCCCUCAAGCAAGCUCUCACUGAAUUACCCACCCUAGCUGUUCCUGAUUUUUCAAAGGUUUUUGUAUUAGAAACAGAUGCUUCUGGUACAGGGUUGGGAGCAGUGUUGUCUCAGGAAGGAAAGCCCUUGGCAUUUUGGAGUGCUACACUCUCAGAUAGGAGCCAAGCUAAGUCAGUAUAUGAGAGAGAAUUAAUGGCAGUGGUUAGAGCCGUCCAAAGAUGGAGACAUUACCUUAUGGGGAGGCACUUCAUCAUUAGGACAGAUCAGAAAAGUUUGAAAUUUUUGACUGAGCAGAAGGUCUUGGGAGCAGAACAGUUCAAGUGGAUUUCUAAGCUCUCAGGUUAUGAUUUUGAAAUACAAUACAAACCUGGAAAGGACAACUCUGCAGCUGAUGCCAUGUCUAGGAGAAGUUCUUACUGUGCACUCUCAGUCCUCAAGGUUAAUGACUAUGAGGAAUGGCAAACUGAAGUGUUACAGGAUCCUAAAUUGCAAGCAAUAGUGCAGGAUCUGAUUCUGGAUCCAGAAGCUCACAAAGGCUACUCUCUAAGAGACCACAAGCUGUUCUACAAAGGGAAGCUGGUGCUGUCCAAGCAAUCCUCUAGGAUUCCCAUUUUGUGUAAGGAAUUCCAUGCUACCUUGUUGGGGGGGCAUUCUGGUUUUUUCAGAACUUAUAGGCGGUUGGCUGCAGUGGUCUAUUGGGAGGGCAUGAAGAAAGACAUUAAGGACUAUGUAGCUGGCUGUGACACUUGCCAGAGGAAUAAAUUUGACAAUUUAUCCCCAGCAGGUCUCCUUCAGCCAUUGCCAAUUCCUACACAAGUAUGGACCGAUGUGUCUAUGGAUUUUAUUGGUGGUCUACCUAAAUCCAAGGGCAAGGAUACAAUCCUAGUGGUGGUGGACAGGUUGACUAAAUAUGCCCAUUUUAUUCCAUUAAGCCAUCCCUUCACAGCUCCUGAGGUAGCAGCUUUGUUUUUGCAAGAAAUUGUGAGACUACAUGGGUUCCCUGCAACAAUAGUCUCUGAUAGGGAUUCUCUGUUUCUCAGCAGCUUUUGGAAAGAAUUAUUUCGAGUUUCUGGUACCCAGUUGAGGUUCAGUACUGCCUACCAUCCUCAAACUGAUGGUCAGACUGAAGUGGUAAAUAGAUGCUUAGAGGUCUACUUGAGGUGUCUUACUGGUUCCAGACCAAAGAAAUGGGUCACUUGUCUACCUUGGGCUGAGUUCUGGUUCAACAGCAAUUAUAAUAGGUCUACUAAGAUGUCUCCUUUUCAAGCCCUUUAUGGUAGGGAACCACCACUGCUACUACAGGGCACUACAAUUCCCUCCAACAUUGCUGCCGUGAAUGAAUUGCAGGAGGGUAGGGAUGAGUUGAUAGCUGAUCUCAGGGCUAACCUUCUGAAGUCCCAAGAUAUGAUGAGAACCUAUGCUAAUAAGCAUCGAAGGGAUGUGGAAUACCAGAUUGGGGACUUGGUUUACCUUAAGUUGCAGCCUUAUAGAAGAAGGUCUUUGGCUAGGAAACUGAAUGAAAAGCUGAGUCCUAGAUAUUAUGGUCCUUAUCCUAUUGCAGCUAAAAUUGGAGCAGUAGCUUACAAAUUGGACUUACCAGCCCAUAGUAGGGUGCACCCUGUCUUUCAUGUCUCUCUCUUAAAGACGGCCAUAGGGACUGAUUUUCAAGCUCAACCUUUACCUGAGGUUUUGAAUGAGGACCAUGAGCUGGUCGCUGAACCUGAAGCUGUAGUGGCUGUUCGGGAGGAUACUAUGGGGCACAUUGAGGUGUUGAUUCAGUGGACUUCUCUACCUGCUUGUGAGAAUAGUUGGGAAUCUGCUGCUCAGCUCCAUGAAGCUUUCCCCACUUUUCCCCUUGAGGACAAGGUGAAGCUUUUAGGGGGGGGUAUUGAUGAGUAUAGGCCUCCAAUCAAGAAGGUGUAUGAGAGAAAGAACAAGGGGAAAGCCACAGCUUAAUGUGUUUGUUAUAGUUAGUUAGUAUCCAGCUGGCAAGUUAGUUGUUUCUGUUAGUGGCCAGUUGGCAAUUUCUGUUAGAGAUGCAUUCUGUUAGCAUCUGGGAGAUAGUAUAAAUAAAGGGAAGGGGGUAGUUAACGAGUAGUUAUUCAGUUAGUAGGUAAUUGUGGAGAGACUGGUCUCUCGAACAACCAGAGGAAGAACUAGGGUUCAUUCCACCAUUUCUGUACCUUGAGCUCUGGUUCUCAUUGAGCAUCUGAGUCUCUAUUUUCAUUCAAAUUCAAUCUAGUUUCAGAUCAGAGUUCUACAGUGUUCAUCAAGGUUCCACUCAGCUGCCUGACUAAACCUAGUUAUCAAUGCAUUUUGUCUAUCUUUUUCAUGUAUCUCAUUAGUACCUUAAUUAUGGAGGAUUUCUCAUCCCCAACUCUGUCGUAUUCUU
rnacentral:lncRNA from 1 species